AAGAAGAGUAUUGGGAACGUGAGAGAAAUACAUAGCAAAACCCAGAAACUCAUUCAUCUACCUCACGAAGAAUCUCCCUCUCCCUCACUCUCACCCGUCAUCUCUCAAUCGCCUGCACCAACCUCACGAUACCCUACUCUCACUCGUCAUCUCUCAAUCACCUGCACCAACCUCAUUCCAUUUCCCAAUCUCACUCAUCUUCUCAAACUUUCGCACCUCCCUCUCUCACUCUAAACGCGGAAAAAACCAUAGCUUCAAAAGAAAAUCAAAUAAGAAGGCUCACCUUCGGCGGUGACUCGGCGGCUAUGGUCUUGCGCUUGGAAUUGUUGUGGUGGUCUUGCCGUUCACGAGCACUCUAUGAAGGGUUUUGAAGGUAGCUGCAACACCUGGUCUGAUGCUGGCAUAUAUGGACUUCUUUAUUGGUGGAGAUGAGAAAAAAUCUGAUAUGUCUCCUUGUCUUCAUCAAAGAUUUCCCAUGUCUAUAAUUUUGGAGGGAUGGAAGUUACAUAAGUCAUUUCUCUCUUCAUAGUGAUAAUAUUCUUAACAGUAUCAUGAGUCAGUCUGUUCCACCAACUAUAUGGUAUCGAUUAGUGGCUGGUUUGAUGUAUAUGCAAAUCCUAAAUUGGCUACUUAUGGUGUACGUGUUGAUCUUGUAUCGUGUCAGCCUAUAGCUUCUGGAUAUUGCCAAUUUUGGCUUGUUGUGCAUACUACUGAGAAUGAAAACAAGUCAUCCUCACUACUAUUGUCAAGGCUAGUGAGGUGGUACUUCAUGAAGUUGGAGCAUAGAAGAGUCCACUGCUCAGGUGCGUGCCAUUUAAAGGAUUGCAUUACAACGUCAUUCAAGUCUAGCAACAUUUUUGGAGAUAAAUGGCUCAGAGGUGGCGGUUAGUGAAAGUUAUGCUGGACCGAUUGCUUACGUUUGUGGUGAAUUUGUUGUUAUUCAUGGCUUGAUUUUGAAAUUGGCUCAUGUAUGGCAAUUCAAGUGUACGGUUUUGUUAUUGGUUCAUGAUGCAAGAACUACUUGGAGAUGCAAGGCUAUGAAUGGACAUUGGUUGCUAAUCUUUUGGAUUAAUGGACUGUUUGGAAUGCAAUCUUGUAACUUCAGAUAUUUUUUUGUAAUGUUUAUGUUGACACAUAUGUGGUUGUGGUUUAUAAUUGGAUGUAAUUAGAAUAGAAAUGUGAAUGUAUUAUGGUUUAUGGAA